rnacentral:rRNA from 1 species
CCUACGGGAGGCAGCAGUCGAGAAUUAUUCACAAUGGGGGAAACCCUGAUGGUGCGACGCCGCGUGGGGGAAUGAAGGUCUUCGGAUUGUAAACCCCUGUCAUGUGGGAGCAAAUUAAAAAGAUAGUACCACAAGAGGAAGAGACGGCUAACUCUGUGCCAGCAGCCGCGGUAAUACAGAGGUCUCAAGCGUUGUUCGGAAUCACUGGGCGUAACGCGUGCGUAGGCUGUUUCGUAAGUCGUGUGUGAAAGGCGCGGGCUCAACCCGCGGACGGCACAUGAUACUGCGAGACUAGAGUAAUGGAGGGGGAACCGGAAUUCUCGGUGUAGCAGUGAAAUGCGUAGAUAUCGAGAGGAACACUCGUGGCGAAGGCGGGUUCCUGGACAUUAACUGACGCUGAGGCACGAAGGCCAGGGGAGCGAAAGGGAUUAGAUACCCUUGUAGUC